GUGCCAGCAGCCGCGGUAAUACGGCCUGUGCAAGCGUUAAUCGGAAUUACUGGGCGUAAAGCGCACGCAGGCGGUCUGUCAAGUCGGAUGUGAAAUCCCCGGGCUCAACCUGGGAACUGCAUUCGAAACUGGCAGGCUAGAGUCUUGUAGAGGGGGGUAGAAUUCCAGGUGUAGCGGUGAAAUGCGUAGAGAUCUGGAGGAAUACCGGUGGCGAAGGCGGCCCCCUGGACAAAGACUGACGCUCAGGUGCGAAAGCGUGGGGAGCAAACAGGAUUAGAUACCCUGGUAGUCCACGCCGUAAACGAUGUCGACUUGGAGGUUGUGCCCUUGAGGCGUGGCUUCCGGAGCUAACGCGUUAAGUCGACCGCCUGGGGAGUACGGCCGCAAGGUUAAAACUCAAAUGAAUUGACGGGGGCCCGCACAAGCGGUGGAGCAUGUGGUUUAAUUCGAUGCAACGCGAAGAACCUUACCUACUCUUGACAUCCAGAGAACUUUCCAGAGAUGGAUUGGUGCCUUCGGGAACUCUGAGACAGGUGCUGCAUGGCUGUCGUCAGCUCGUGUUGUGAAAUGUUGGGUUAAGUCCCGCAACGAGCGCAACCCUUAUCCUUUGUUGCCAGCGGUCCGGCCGGGAACUCAAAGGAGACUGCCAGUGAUAAACUGGAGGAAGGUGGGGAUGACGU
rnacentral:rRNA from 1 species